UUAAGCUAAGAAGAGCGUAGGGAGAAUGCCUUGGCAUUAGGAGCCGACGAAGGACGUGAUAAGCUGCGAUAAGCUGCGGGGAUCAGCAAGUAUGAAUUGAUCCGCAGAUUUCCGAAUGGAGCAAUCCGUAUGUGUAUGCACAUACAUCAUAUACUGAAUCAAAUAGGUAUAUGAGGGGAACCGCCUGAACUGAAACAUCUAAGUAGGGCGAGGAAGAGAAAUCAACCGAGAUUCUGUGAGUAGUGGCGAGCGAAAGCGGAAGAGGCUAAACCAUAGGUAGCAAUACUUAUGGGGUUUCGGACAGCAUUUAGUAUUGAUAAUUUCUAGUUGAAACGUGUGGGAAAACGUACCGAAGAGUGUGAGAGUCACGUAAGCGAAAGAGAAAGUCAGCGAGCUGUAUCCAAAGUACCGCGGGACACGUGAAACCCCGUGGGAAGAUGGGGGGACCAUCCUCCAAGCCUAAAUACUACCUAAUGACCGAUAGCGAAUAGUACUGUGAAGGAACGGUGAAAAGAACCCCGGGAGGGGAGUGAAAAAGAACCUGAAACCCUAUGCUUACAAGCACCGAGAGCACGUCAAAGUGUGAUCGGGUACCUUUUGUAGAAUGGUCCGGCGAGUUAUUGUAUGCGGCAAGGUUAAGUGCUUAAGGCACGGAGCCGAAGCGAGAGCAAGUCUGAACAGGGCGAAAAAGUCGUAUGCAAUAGACCCGAAACCGAGUGACCUAUCCAUGUCCAGGCUGAAGUGGAGGUAAAACUCCAUGGAGGGCCGAACACACGUCCGUUGAAAAGGCCGGUGAUGAGGUGUGGAUAGCGGAGAAAUUCCAAUCGAACUCGGAUAUAGCUGGUUCUCUCCGAAAUAGCUUUAGGGCUAGCCUCGUGAAAGAUUACUGGAGGUAAAGCACUGAAUGGGCUAGGGGUCGAAAGAUUACUGAACCCUAUCAAACUAAGAAUGCCAGAUAAUUGAUUCACGGGAGUCAGACAAUGUGAGAUAAGUCUCAUUGUCAAAAGGGAAACAGCCCAGACCCACAGCUAAGGUCCCUAAACAUUGUUAAGUGGAAAAGGAUGUGGGGUUGCAUAAACAACCAGGAUGUUGGCUUAGAAGCAGCCACUCAUUAAAAGAGUGCGUAAUAGCUCACUGGUCGAGUGACCCUGCGCCGAAAAUUCAACGGGGCUAAACAAUGUACCGAAGCUUGGGAUUCUAAAGUAAUUUAGAGUGGUAGGAGAGCGUCGAAUAAGGGGUGAAGUCAGAGCGGAAGCGCUGGUGGACUUUAUUCGAGUGAGAAUGCCGGAAUGAGUAGCGAGAAUUAUGUGAGAAUCAUAAUGGCCGAAAAUCUAAGGUUUCCUGAGGAAGGUUCGUCCGCUCAGGGUAAGCCGGGGGCUAAGGCGAGGCGGAGACGCGUAGCCGAUGCACAUACGGUUGAAAUUCCGUAGCCACCGAAAGAUUUAAGUACAGGGACGCUUUAGAAGUGAUGUUGCCGGGCGAUGGUUGACCCGGUCGUAAGGGAUCGAAAAUGAGUAGAGAAGUCAUCAUGGAAAGAGACAAGAAAAGCUGUAUGAAUAUCUUAGGUGCCCGUACCGCAAACCGACACAGGUAGAUAGGAAGAAGAUUCUAAGGCCAACGGGAGAAGGGUUGUUAAGGAACUCGGCAAGUUGACCCCGUAACUUAGGGAUAAGGGGUGCUCAAGUGAUUGAGCCGCAGAGAAUAGGCCCAGGCGACUGUUUAGCAAAAACACAGGUCUCUGCUAAAUCGAAAGAUGACGUAUAGGGGCUGACACCUGCCCGGUGCCGGAAGGUUAAGAGGAGAUGUGAGAGCAUUGAAUUGAAGCCCCGGUAAACGGCGGCCGUAACUAUAACGGUCCUAAGGUAGCGAAAUUCCUUGUCAGGUAAGUUCUGACCCGCACGAAAGGCGUAAUGAUUUGGGCACUGUCUCAACAGCCCGCCCGGCGAAAUUGUAGUACCGGUGAAGAUGCCGGUUACCCGCGACAAGACG
rnacentral:rRNA from 1 species